GGCCAAUAAGGUAUUGGCAUGCAUGAAAAAGGGCAUUCAUUCCCAGGACAAGAAUAUCAUUUUGCCUCUUUAUAAAUCACUGGUAAGACCACCUAUUCUAAAGAAGGAUAUUAUGGCACUAGAAAAAGUGCAGAGGCGGGCUAUAAAAUUAUUAAAAGGAAUGGAACAUAUCAGCUAUGAAGAAAGGUAAACAAAUUUAAACCUAUUUAGUUU